rnacentral:pre_miRNA from 1 species
AAUAAGUUCAAUUUUAUACUAUUCAUACCCAACAUUUGACUUUUCGCGUUAUUUGAAAAAAAACUUUAAUUUUGAAUGAUUAGUUUUUUAUUAUUAUUAGAUAAUAAUAAAGCAUGAAUAGUAUCUUAUGUGUGACUAUCUUUUUUAUUUUUUUUCAUAAAUUUUUUAAAUAAGAUGGACGGUUAAAUGUUGGAUAUUGAUACUCACGGCUGCACUUAUU